UUUCAGGACCCAAAACAUCGGGUCCGUCAGAGGAAUUUCAAAGGAAGUGCCAUUGGUACGCCCACCACGGCGCAGCAGGCGCUGCUAAAUUGCCAUACAGUCAAAAAGAAAAUCACGAGACGCCAAUUUGUUCUCUCAAACAUAGCCGCACCAUCUACAAAUAUAAAGCCCUAAAUGUCCUUGAUUCAGUACUACAUAGUAUUCGGUAACAAAUCUCAUUCUAUUCACUUUACAGGGUCUUCAACUGGAAAUUUGGUCAAGAUGUUGAAAGAUUUUAAGUCAGGUUUUUAAUUACAGUAACAGUAAUUCCUUUGUGGAAUCGUUGUGGAGUCGUAUUUUUAUUUUAUUUUUCAAGCUGCUGAACAGCACACUCCAGCCGCAUUAGCUCAGGUGUACCUAAUGUUGUGGCCAGUGAGCGCACAUCCCCGCCGAAUGAAUCAUCCAACCGUUCUUCCUCCCGUUUUCGAGAUGAAGGCUAUUGUUCUGACUUUUCCGCAUGCAAGUCUUUUUGUCAGUCAGGCAUGGUAUGGCACCGAGCAAUUGGGUGUAAAAAAUAAAAACA